AGUGAACGCUAGCGGCAGGCCUAACACAUGCAAGUCGAACGGCAGCACAGGAGAGCUUGCUCUCUGGGUGGCGAGUGGCGGACGGGUGAGGAAUACAUCGGAAUCUACCUUUUCGUGGGGGAUAAUGUAGGGAAACUUACGCUAAUACCGCAUACGACCUACGGGUGAAAGUGGGGGACCGCAAGGCCUCACGCGAUUAGAUGAGCCGAUGUCCGAUUAGCUAGUUGGCGGGGUAAUGGCCCACCAAGGCGACGAUCGGUAGCUGGUCUGAGAGGAUGAUCAGCCACACUGGAACUGAGACAUGGUCCAGACUCCUACGGGAGGCAGCAGUGGGGAAUAUUGGACAAUGGGCGCAAGCCUGAUCCAGCCAUACCGCGUGGGUGAAGAAGGCCUUCGGGUUGUAAAGCCCUUUUGUUGGGAAAGAAAUCCUGUCGAUUAAUACUCGGUGGGGAUGACGGUACCCAAAGAAGAAGCCCCGGCUAACUCCGUGCCAGCCGCCGCGGUAACAC
rnacentral:rRNA from 1 species